GCCGCCCGGGAGAGGCGGCGCCGGGCUGCGCGGGCCCCGCUCCUCCCUCACCGCCCCUGCGCCGGGAGACGAGACAAGAUGGCGGCGGUCGGGCCGAGGCCGGGGGAGCGGCAGCGGGCUCGGCUGCCCGGAGUAGCGCAGGGAGCCGGGCCGUAACCCGCGUGUCUUCCCUGCUUUAUUAACCACGGACCUCGAGGAGCAGCAGAAGAGGCAGCGUGCGCCCUGUUUGCAGCCCUGAAAUGACACCGAGACACUUGAACGCGGGCGGACGGGAGAGGACGGUGCCCUGAUGCGCUGAAGGGCUGUACCAGGAUCAGUGCUACAGAAAGCAGCACGCAAGCAGCAGCAGGAGAGAAAGGGAUUUAUCAUAGCAACACUGAACCAAGACUACGCCUCAGCUCUUCGUAUGGAACUGCUGACAGAGGAAGCUGCAGAACUGAAAGCAGUCAGUCCUUGACUGCAUGAGACCAUGCCUCUCACAGAAGGCAAAUUUUACUUAAAAAAAUUUAUGAAAUGCAAACUUAUUGAUUCACUUUUCUUAGAGCUGUUACACUUGAAUAACUGCGCAAGGUUAAGGUUCCUACUCACUUCAAAUUAAGAUUUAUAGUUUGAUUUGCUGAGAAGACUACAGAGGUCAAAUAAAAAAAACCAGCAAAAACUUUUCUUUUAGCAUACAGGGUCUUUCUUUCUCCUACUACAGGAGAGCCUUUUUAGAUACAUGGUGAACUAAAACUUAACAAGUACAGAACAAAACAUACACAACAACAUGUUUUCACAGAAAAAAGUAGCCUCUGAAAACGUGAAGUUGUCAGUAAAAAGGAAUACAACAGCAAAGUACAUAACAGAACAAUACUUUUAUAUUAUUGCAACAGCAAUAAUACUAUCAGUAAAUACUAUCACUAAAUCAGUAGAAAAUUACUUACAAGAGCAAAUACUGACCUAAUAUUAAUUAAUAGUGCUGCAGGCAUUGAGUGUGGAUAACUGUAUUUUCAGCUUUGUAGUGCAGAAGUUCUGGUUGUAAACUCGUGUGCUUUAACGAUUUAAAUAACAGUUUGGACCUUUUGCUUUAUACUGUUUGUGUAUAGCUUAAAGAUAAAUGGCUGGUAACUUGUCCUGGGUUUACUCCACAGUGCUUGAGAGUUGCCUGUGUGAUCCAGUAAGAUAGUGGGACUACCAAGUUUCCUUUAUUUGAACAAGUAUUGGAACUUUUGACCAAAGUGGGAUUAAGUUCUACUCACAUUAGAAGAGCACUCCUGUCCAAUAUACGCACAAGAAACUAUCAAGAAGCACACUUCUUAAAUUGACACUGGUUUAUUGUGUUUAGGAACAUUUAAUAAAUACCAGUCUUUUGGCUUCAGUUUGGCAAUCCUUUCCCACCAAAAAUCCAUUGUGUUGGGUUUUUUUCUGGCAUAAACUCCAUUGCCAGCAAUGGAUGUAUCAGAAAAAGAAGUUAAUAAAUACAGACAGCAGUUCUCUAAA